GGAGUUAGCCGGUGCUUCUUCUGCGAGUAACGUCACAGAUGUAAGGUAUUAACUUACACCCUUUCCUCCUCGCUGAAAGUGCUUUACAACCCGAAGGCCUUCUUCACACACGCGGCAUGGCUGCAUCAGGGUUUCCCCCAUUGUGCAAUAUUCCCCACUGCUGCCUCCCGUAGGAGUCUGGGCCGUGUCUCAGUCCCAGUGUGGCUGAUCAUCCUCUCAGACCAGCUAGGGAUCGUCGCCUAGGUGAGCCUUUACCUCACCUACUAGCUAAUCCCACCUGGGCUUAUCCAUCAGCGCAAGGCCCGAAGGUCCCCUGCUUUCCCCCGUAGGGCGUAUGCGGUAUUAGCAGUCGUUUCCAACUGUUAUCCCCCACAAAUGGGCAAAUUCCCAGGCAUUACUCACCCGUCCGCCGCUCGUCAUCUUCAAAAGCAAGCUUUUGAAAUGUUACCGCUCGACUUGCAUGUGUUAGGCCUGCCGCCAGCGUUAAAAUCUGAGCCAGAAUCAAACUCUGA
rnacentral:rRNA from 1 species